UACGUAGGUGGCAAGCGUUGUCCGGAUUUACUGGGUGUAAAGGGCGUGUAGCCGGGCUGACAAGUCAGAUGUGAAAUCCGGGGGCUCAACCCCCGAACUGCAUUUGAAACUGUUGGUCUUGAGUAUCGGAGAGGCAGGCGGAAUUCCUAGUGUAGCGGUGAAAUGCGUAGAUAUUAGGGGGAACACCAGUGGCGAAGGCGGCCUGCUGGACGACAACUGACGGUGAGGCGCGAAAGCGUGGGGAGCAAACAGG
rnacentral:rRNA from 1 species